UGGCGAACGGGUGAGUAACACGUGGGUGAUCUGCCCUGCACUUCGGGAUAAGCUUGGGAAACUGGGUCUAAUACCGGAUAGGAGCCAUCUUUAGUGUGGUGGUUGGAAAGUUUUUUCGGUGUAGGAUGAGCUCGCGGCCUAUCAGCUUGUUGGUGGGGUAAUGGCCUACCAAGGCGGCGACGGGUAGCCGGCCUGAGAGGGUGUAUGGCCACAUUGGGACUGAGAUACGGCCCAG
rnacentral:rRNA from 1 species